AAAAAUGAAGCCAUCUGGUCUUUGCCUUUUUAAAAUAUAAUUCUGGUUUUUACGUUUUUUGUUAUUUUAGUUUUGAAUAGAUCAAUCACUCUGGAAAGGGGGAGCAAAUUCCUCAUUGGAAUUGGUUUUGGGUGAAACUUCUUAAUAUUUGCUGUCUAAUAUAUAUAUACAUACAUAUAGGCAGUUCUGCCACAAAUAUUUUGAAAAUGCUCAUUUGUUCCAACUUGAUUGAUAUUUUAAAGAACAUUCUAGUGAUAAUUUAAAAUAUGAGUUUGCUUUUGUGUGUUUUCUUUGGUGAAAAACAGGGAGAGAACUCUGGAAACUGCCCCACUUCACUAUAAUUCACAAGCUGCAGCCCUUACAAUGCCCACUUCCAGAAGCAAACUUCGGGUCUUUGUCAAGGAAAUCGUUGGUGGCCAGCCUCUCCCUUUUGAAAACCCCUUUCUUCAAGGCCCAACAGAAGGAGUAUCAAAGUGGAUGGAAUCUCCUGGGCUUGGAAUAUGGAAGUUCUGAAUUCAAAUAUGAUCUCUAACACUCCUUCUGUAACCUGGACAAAUCACUUAACUUCUGAUUGCAUCAAUUUCCUCAGCUGUAAACUGAAGAUAACAAUAGCACCUACCUUACUGGGUUGUGAGGAUCCAAUGAGAUAGUAUUUGUGAAAAGCACUUAGCAUAGUGCCUGGUACAUAGUAGGUGUUAUAUAAAUGCCUUUUCUUUCCCCCUCCCUCCUGUAUUCUUUCACACCCCUACCCCAUUCCAUUCCAAACACCUCAUGGGCAGGGAAUUUGUUUUUGCCUUUCAUCUUUUUAUCUCAAAUGCCAGUUUUGCACAAAUUAAGAUCACAGAAUUAUGAAUUUAGAGCUGAAAGAGACUUUAGGAGCCAUUGAGUAAAAUUUCCCCUCCCCUCAUUUUAUAGAUGAAAUUAGGCCUAGAUGUAUUAAGAUAUUUAUAGGAGUAUAAGACCAUAAAUUUAGAGCUGGAAGGAACCUUAGAAGCCAUUGAGCCCAAUGCCCUUAGUUUUUCUCAAAUGAGGCAUAAAGUGGCUUGUCCAAGGACAUAAGAUCAGUGAGGGCAAAAUUGAGGUACAAACUCUGGCAAUAUGUUUCCAAAUCCAAUGGACCCAUUGCAUUUUUUGUCUAAUUGAACCAAAAUGAAGAUGCAAACCAGAGUGACAAUGAGAUGGGAGAAGCAUCAGCUGGGAAGUCUACUAUCAUGUCUUAUUGGUAUGAAACUUCACAUCUUCAGUAGGAACAAGGAACAAAACAGUUGAGCAAGGAGGGAUAUGAGGAUGUUAUCUAGCUUUUCUAGAGUUUAGUCAUGUCUUUACAUUGGGGAACACUGUUUGCUAGGCUUUUAUGGUUAUGAAUUUAUUCUUCUUUUCUCCUUAUUCCUGUCCGGUAUAUUUAGCAUUCUAUACAUCGAGUCUGAAGACCAUGACUUGGAAACAAAUAAUGCACAUCAUGCAUUUAAUUCUUUCUACUUCACCUGGGCUUGCAGGACUGUCUCUUGCUCCUUCAGCAUCUUAGUUUGAAGUUUCCACUCAGCUGCUUGGUUCAGUAACUGUGAAAAGAUUAUCCAAAAAAAGAGAAUAUAUUACAUUCAAAAGAUCUUUAUAUUUCAGUUAAUAUAUAAAUCUUGGUACUUUUCCUGCUUCUUAGGUCUCCUUAAAAGGUUCUUUUAAAAAACAAAAUAUAUGAAAUAAUUUAUUAAAGCCAAAAUGUAUCUUGUGAUUUUUGAUGAUGACUUGAUUUCAUGGGAGAAAAAAUAGAAAAACAACUAUUUUGCUUAUGAAAUAUCAAAUCUAGUAGAAUGUAAGUUUCUGGAGGGUAGACUAUUUAAAACUUUUCAUCUUUGUAUUCUAUAUGUCUGGCACAGUACCUGGCACAUAGCAAGUGUUAAAUAAAUGCUUGAAUUGAAUUAAAUUCCCAUAUAGUUCAGCCUCUCACACAAUGAGUCUCCUUUCCAAUAUUACAGAUUGUUGAGUCUCCAUCCUCAGCCGAAGAUUCCUAACAUCCCUGAGGAGAUUUAAUACUUGCAUCCCAUUCUCUAACCAAAUUUAGCAGACGAUAGUGCUCUAAUAGUGACAACAUACAUGGUGGCUUUGCUGUUAUGAUUUCUGGGUUUUAUUUGAAAGCAAAACCCAAGGCAAGAAGUAGAAAUGGUGUAGAGGCAAGGGGAAAGUGUGCUGUGUCUGAUGUUUCCCUCCACCACCCUCAAAUGAAUAUAGAAAGUAUACCAGUUGGGUUAGUAGCUAUCUUUGGAAAGGGCUGCAGAGAAAGAAUGAGGUAUUUUACUGUGAUUGGCCAGCAGGAGAGAAGUAAAUUAUUACUUUCCUUCUGAUGCUAUUUUAAUUUACCUAGAUCUUCUCAUUAGUACUCCUUAGUGUUGUUGAGAUGGCUUACGACACUUGUUACUUUUGCUUCAUGUAGUGGUUUUAGUUGUUAAUAGAGAGGUAGUUAUGCCAAUGACAGUGGAUCUAUUUUCUUGAUCCUUUGACAGUUAUCAACAUGAGAGAUGUUGGCAUCUAUAAGAAUGUCAUCAGCAGGUGUGAUUGUAUUGCUUUAUCGAUUAUGCAAACCGCAGGCAGGGGCUGAGACACCCUUGUGACUCAGAAAGAACUAGAGGGGAAGUUAUUGCAUAUGUGUAUCUGGCCCCCCUGGAUUAUUGGCUUAUAGCCUGUGGGACUACCAUUUCCUUCCUAAUACACAGCACAUCCAAAUUCUCUCUUUUAUUUCUAAUGGCUUUCCCAAACAUUGAGAUAGCCCUUACCUUUUGUCUCUACCAAUUCUAAUUCUCAACAU